rnacentral:lncRNA from 1 species
GGCCUAUUUGAGUAUUGGUUGUGUGCUUCGAUGUUUCAGUUUCACCUCUAGCUUGAUUUCGAGUCACAAUGGUAGAAAUUGCAAGCUCUAGCAUUUUAGUUAUUUUCCCCUUUAUUUUUGGGAGGGGAUUGGGCACUGUGCACUGUGCACACCCAUUUCUCUUAUGGCUUGUGAUGAACAAUAUGAUCAAGAUGAGAGCUGUGCCAGCGAAAUGCGAAUGUUCCCACUUUUUAGAUGGGUGUCGUAUCAGAUAUUGCUUUCUGAUCUGAUGCAAGGGUAAUGGAGGAGUCCUGGAGUGGUGAAACUGACAUGUGGGAUAACAGAUUUGGUCAUUGUGCUAAGUUGCUAGGAGACAGGCUCACUUCCACACAUCACAUACACUGCGUUGGGAUAUUCUGAUGGAAUGAUAUUGACCACAAAUGAUUUGAAUGAGUCUGACGUGUCAGAGGUUGAGCCAAUAGGAUUAUCUCCUUUUUGUUUCUUUGUUUUUUUUUCUGGCUGAAAGCGACAGGAAACAAAAUAAGGUGUGGAUUUGAUUUGAAUAAAUAGAACUGCAAAUUCACCGUAUUUAGCCAUUUAUCUGUUAGUAUCAGAUCAGUUAUUAAAUUGAUGAACAUGGUCAUAGUUUACGUUUUGUAGAUUUCUCUUUCUUAAAUGUAAAAAUAUCAUCUUUCACCAAUGUUGGCAGUUUUGCUAUGGCUAUUUUUCAAUACUCUAUUACAGUGCUCUGAACUAGCAAGGUUAAGAAUAUAUAGGUUAUUACAGGU